UGCAGGGAGGGUGUGUGUGUGUGUUUGUAAGAGAGAGAGAAAGAGAGAGAUAGAGAGAGAAAGGGGGUAGAGGUGGGGAGUGAGAGAGGGUGGAACACUGAUAAGGGUGGGAGAGAGAGGGGAGAGAGAGAGUAAGGGGGAGGAGGACAGAGAAAGAGUCGUACAGAAUGAGCGACAGAAAAUCAUAGCCGAACAAAUAUCCCAUCUACUCCAGUCCCACCUGCCUGCCUUUGGCCGGUAUCCCUCUAAUCCUUGUACCUGUCCAAGAGUCAGGAGUGAAACAGCAUGGAAACAGGGCCUUCGGCCCCACUUGCCCAGGCUGACCAACGGGCUGAUUUAAUUACCAAUAUCUAAUCAGAAACAUUUUUCAUUCCAGGUGUCAACAGCAAAAUUAAUAUGCAGACAGAUAACAAAAAAUUCGGGUCUGAAACUCAAUGCUGUUUGAAUGAAACAAAAGAAGCAAAUUGCUCAGAAACUCAGCGGGAAACAGUACAUGAACCUGCCAUCGAGAUCUCGGACUUUUCCCUGCGGGGCGGCGUCUCCCGAUGCUCCGGGCGUCUGGAAUUCCGUCUGGAAAAUUCCUCGGUCGUGGGCUUGUGUCUCGGAGGGUCGACCUUCACCGUCGCAUCGCUGGUCUGCAGAGAACUGGGAUGCGGAGAGGUUUCCGCGAUAGUGGCGGGGUCUUUCUAUUCCGGGGCCCCUCGCCCGCCGUGGGAACGGACGCUGGAGUGUGCGGCAUCUGAUCAGCUCAAAGGAUGCAGACAGACCAGCGCGCCGUGUGACGGGGAGUCGCUGGCAGUCGUGUGUGGAGGUGGGACUGGAGCUACAUCCGCACUGUCCCAUCACACACUCCGCCCGAGGGUCAGACACGGACACACACACACACACACACACACACACGUACACACACACACACGUACACACACACACGUACACACACACACACACAUACACACACACAUAAACACACACACACACACACACACACACACACACACGUACACACACACACACACACACACAACACACACACACACACACACACACACACACACACACACACACACACACACACACACACACACACACACACACACACACACACACACACACACACACACACACACACACACACACACACACACACACACACACACACACACACACACGUACACACACACACAUACACACACACACACACACACACACACACACACACACACACACACACUCACGCACACACACACACACACACAUACACACGCACA